UACGGAGGGUGCAAACGUUGCUCGGAAUCAUUGGGCGUAAAGCGCACGUAGGCGGUCCAGUAAGUCGGGUGUGAAAGCCCUCGGCUCAACCGAGGAAGUGCAUUCGAAACUACUGAACUUGAGUAUGGAAGAGGGUCGCGGAAUUCCCGGUGUAGAGGUGAAAUUCGUAGAUAUCGGGAGGAACACCAGUGGCGAAGGCGGCGACCUGGGCCAAUACUGACGCUGAGGUGCGAAAGCCAGGGGAGCGAACGGG
rnacentral:rRNA from 1 species